rnacentral:rRNA from 1 species
GAUCCUGGCUCAGGACGAACGCUGGCGGCGUGCUUAACACAUGCAAGUCGAACGAGAAUCUGCUGAAGGAGGAUUCGUCCAACGGAAGUAGAGGAAAGUGGCGGACGGGUGAGUAACGCGUGAGGAACCUGCCUUGAAGAGGGGGGACAACAGUUGGAAACGACUGCUAAUACCGCAUGAAGCAUAGGGGUCGCAUGAUCUUUAUGCCAAAGAUUUAUCGCUUCAAGAUGGCCUCGCGU